rnacentral:rRNA from 1 species
GAUGAACGCUGACAGAAUGCUUAACACAUGCCAGUCCACUUGAAUUUGGGUUUUUAACUUAGGUUUGGGUGGCGGACGGGUGGGUAACGCGUAAAGAACUUGCCUCACAGCUAGGGACAACAUUUGGAAACGAAUGCUAAUACCUAAUAUUAUGAUAAUAGGGCAUCCUAUAAUUAUGAAAGCUAUAAGCGCUGUGAGAGAGCUUUGCGUCCCAUUAGCUAGUUGGAGAGGUAACGGCUCACCAAGGCGAUGAUGGGUAGCCGGCCUGAGAGGGUGAUCGGCCACAAGGGGACUGAGACACGGCCCUUACUCCUACGGGAGGCAGCAGUGGGGAAUAUUGGACAAUGGACCGAGAGUCUGAUCCAGCAAUUCUGUGUGCACGAUGAAGUUUUUCGGAAUGUAAAGUGCUUUCAGUUGGGAAGAAACAAAUGACGGUACCAACAGAAGAAGUGACGGCUAAAUACGUG